GUCAAUGAGCGUGUUCAGCCGAACUAAGUCCUGAGUAAACUUAGUUAGCCUAAGUAUAGUCAAAGCAUUCCUUGCUAUACAUAUAUCUAUCUACUAUACUAUACAUAUCUUACUAAGUUUACUCAGGACUGAGUUCUGCUGAAGACGCUCAAGGUGUAACCUCAUGCUGACGCUUGACGCUGGUUAUGAGCGUCAAAUUGGGUCACGUGGUUAAUUUAGGCCGUGCUGCCACCUGGAAAAAACUUAGUAGCGUCAAAUCGUAAAAAGCUAAACUCGGUUUAGCUUUUUAUGCUGAGGGUGGAGCGUCAAUUUACAAAUAAUAUAAUCGAACUCGAAAAUAAUCGAUUUUGACAAAGUUGCUCAAAUUGUACAGCUGUCAUUCGAAUAUAAUUUUCAAUUUUUUCAGAGUAUGAAGAAAGAGUUGGGAAGACGGCUUCGAAAAAUCCAUGCUCUCGUCGUAAUUUAAAUAAAGGAUGGAUCCAAAAUUUCUUUGGUGUAUAUUUUUUUUUAGAUCUCUGGAUAACUAUUUCAUUGCAUAAUAAAGCACAUAUGAUCCUUUUACGUCGAAUUUUUUUUUUUAUUUGCGCUUGACGAAUUAUUUUUUGACACUGAUAAAUCCACAAUUGAUAAUCAUAUUCAUCUGCCAUUGAAAUUUCGAUAAGUCACUUAAAUUUGAUGUUAAGAACUAGCUUCUAGGUAUAUCUCGAGAUAUCGACUUUCGAUAUUCAUACAUUUUUUUCGCCGCUGAUUUUUUUAAUUUGACGCUGGCAUUUGACGCUGGAUAUGUCUUUAUUUAUUUCAGCUAGGUGGAGCUAUAGUUUGACGCUCAAAGCUAGCGUCAAGCGUCAUCAUGAGGUUACAACU
rnacentral:lncRNA from 1 species